rnacentral:rRNA from 1 species
CCUACGGGGGGCUGCAGUGGGGAAUAUUGGACAAUGGGGGGAACCCUGAUCCAGCCAUGCCGCGUGUGUGAAGAAGGCCCUCGGGUUGUAAAGCACUUUCAGUGAGGAAGAACGCCUGGUGGUUAAUACCCAUCGGGAAAGACAUCACUCACAGAAGAAGCACCGGCUAACUCCGUGCCAGCAGCCGCGGUAAUACGGAGGGUGCGAGCGUUAAUCGGAAUUACUGGGCGUAAAGCGCGCGUAGGUGGCUUGAUAAGCCGGUUGUGAAAGCCCCGGGCUCAACCUGGGAACGGCAUCCGGAACUGUCAAGCUAGAGUGCAGGAGAGGAAGGUAGAAUUCCCGGUGUAGCGGUGAAAUGCGUAGAGAUCGGGAGGAAUACCAGUGGCGAAGGCGGCCUUCUGGACUGACACUGACACUGAGGUGCGAAAGCGUGGGUAGCAAACAGGAUUAGAUACCCUAGUAGUC